ACUCCUACGGGAGGCAGCAGUGGGGAAUAUUGCACAAUGGGCGAAAGCCUGAUGCAGCGACGCCGCGUGAGCGAAGAAGUAUUUCGGUAUGUAAAGCUCUAUCAGCAGGGAAGAUAAUGACGGUACCUGACUAAGAAGCACCGGCUAAAUACGUGCCAGCAGCCGCGGUAAUAC
rnacentral:rRNA from 1 species